CCUACGGGAGGCAGCAGUGAGGAAUAUUGGUCAAUGGGCGAGAGCCUGAACCAGCCAAGUCGCGUGAGGGAGUACUGCCCUAUGGGUUGUAAACCUCUUUUGUCGGGGAGCAAAAGCCGGACGUGUCAGGCUGUGAGAGUACCCGAAGAAAAAGCAUCGGCUAACUCCGUGCCAGCAGCAGCGGUAAGACGGAGGAGGCGAGCAUUAUCCGGAUUAAUUGGGUUUAAAGGGGGCGCGGGCGGAUUUUUAAGUCAGCGGUCAAAUCGUGGGGCUCAACCCCAUCCAGCCGUUGAAACUGGGGAUCUAGAGUGUGCGAGAGGUAUGCGGAAUGCGUGGUGUAGCGGUGAAAUGCAUAGAUAUCACGCAGAACCCCGAUUGCGAAGGCAGCAUACCGGUGCACAACUGACGCUCAGGCACGAAAGCGUGGGUAUCGAACAGGAUUAGAUACCCGGGUAGUC
rnacentral:rRNA from 1 species